CUUCACCGAGCCGAGCCACAGCGGCUUCUCCGGGUCCCGGCCCCGCCCGUACGUCGCGAGCAGCGCCUGCGCCUC
rnacentral:antisense_RNA from 1 species